GUGCUUGCUUCGGCAGCACAUGUACUAAAAUUGCAGUGAUACAGAGAUUAGCACGGCCCCUGCACAAGGAUGACACGCAAAUUCGUGAAGCAUUCCAUAUUAAA
rnacentral:snRNA from 1 species